CUCGCCUCACUCGAUCACACCGCUCCCCGUCCAUCUCUGUGACUGCAACUGCAACUCCGACUCUCUCUCUAGCAGAGGCUUUAUCAAUCAUCACCUUUCCGAUUUGGGUGAGUUCUCUCUCUCUCUCUCUCUCUCUCUCUCUCUCUCUCUCUCUCUCUCAACUUUUCUUGAUAAGGUUCUGAAUUUCUUACUUUGGAGAAAUAGAGGUCAAGGUUUUAAAUGUGUUGAAAUCUAGGUCAAGUAGAUGUGUUAAUCUAUUAUUGUAAGUAUUGGACUCCCCCUCUACCUGUAAGCCUCCUCGAUUGCUUCACAAAGUCAAUGUAACCCAUUCGAUGUUUUCUAUAUAGAUUUCCCAUAGUGGCGUGAAAAUAAUUUAUUGAUCAGUUUAUUUAAUUUGCUCAUUCGGGUGCGGACACUUAUAAGUGAACUUUCCAACAUAGUGAGAUUGUUUAGUAUUUUCUUUAUUCUGAUACUUGUUCCCCUAUGCCUUAUGCCCUAGUUUUUUAAUGGAGCUAAUUUAAUUUAAUUUUUUUUAUUGUUUUGUCUUCUCUAAGUCAAAUAUGAUUCUAGUUAAUAGAGGCCGAAUAAGGGUGGGGCUAUGGCAGCUUGGGGGUUGUUUUGGAGUGGUUUAGCAAUUUUUUAGAGAUGUUUUCAGAGCUUAUUUUGGGCAGGUUUUAGUAAUUUUUUUUUUGUAGGGCUGUUUUAGGGCAAAUGGGGGUUGCUUAGGGUUAAAUUUGGGGCUGGUUUUGGGCGCUGAUUGUAGGCUGCUUUCGGGAUCCCUUAGGACUGUUUUAGGGGCAGAAUUGGGGGUUGUUCGAGGGUAAUUUGGGACCGAGGUUGAGUGCUAUUUUUGGGUUGAUUUAGGGGCAGACCUGGGGGCUGUUUGUGGCAGCAACAUGGCGGCAAUGGGGUGUUUGGUUGAGGUGGAAGGAAUGGAGUCUAAUUUGGGUGCUGUUUGGAAGCUAUUUGGGGUUUGAUUUCUUACUGAUUUGAGACUGUCUUCAGGGCUGUUUGGGGAGCUGAUUUAGGGCUUUUCUCAUUGAUAUCAUUGGGGGUGGCCGGUGGCAACGAUUGAGUGAUGUUUGAUUGUGGCUCAAGCAUUAGGUUGCGUAGUUAGUUCUUUGCUUUCAGUGGAAUGGAUUUUAAUAUUCUCUUCAUAUUUCAUGCAAGAUUUCAAAUACCACCAUGGAAUGGUUUUCUUCUUCUUAUUUUUUUUCAUUUGGAUGAUUGAGAGCAGAUAUGCUCGUAAGAAUCAUACUAUUGGACUAUUCAUGCAUCGAUGUAAAUUUUACUAAUAAAAUGGUUUGUUUUAUAUGAUAGUCUGUGCCAAUUGAUCAACCGUGAAUUUUCUUGACGAUUAUUGACAGAGAUUGUGUAAGCCCUAGUAAUAGAGUCAUAUUUGUUUGAAUAGUGAACUGGAUCUAUACAUAUACAUAGUUAUGUAAUGGAUUUGAAUUCAAAAUCCUAUAUGUUUCUCUCAACUUCUCACAACUUUAUUGUAGAUAUCAUUGCUCCUUUAAUUCAAAACUCGAAACCUUUUUCCUGAAUUAAUUUAGACGCUAGCUUCAAUUAUAGUAACGUAGCCAUUCACUUUUAGAAUGACUUGAUCAAUAGCUUAGACCCGGGAAGAGUUUUAUAUAUCUAACCAAAUUGUACAUUGACCCAAAGUAUGACUUUGAACCAAAAUGCGCAGUGUUUGAAAAACCUACCAAGUCUAAGUAAAAGUCGAUUGAAGAAAUGUUGGGCAUUCCUAAAUCCAAGAAGAGGGGUGGAAGAAAGCAUAAAAAAUGAAUAGUUUUUUGUUGCAAUUGUUGCAUUACCCAUUUGUUCUGAAGGCAUUAACGGGAUUGACAUUAAUACGGUUGAGGCAUUAACAGGCUUCUUUUGUGGGUAUGCUCUCACCCUGUUAUGAUGCCUCAUGCUUAGGGUUCCUUUAAUCUUUGUAUUUGUUUCCAAAGUUUAUUAUUAUUAUUAUUAUUUAAUCGGCAAAGAAAAUUUUAUUAAGAAAAACUCAAUAGGGUACAUUGAGGAGGAGAAAACAAGCAUCAAUGAGAGGAAGAACCCAAUCUAAUCAUGUGCUUGGAGAACUCCCGAAAAGAAGUUAUCCAACAAAGAGUUGAAUGACAAAAGAACAAAAGUUUAGAAAAAAGAUAAACAGCCAAAACCGUAACAUCUCAAGACAUUACAAAAUAAGUCUCCUAAUCCCAUCAAAAUAAGUCUCCAAUAGAAUAGAGAGAUAAGUUGCAUUUUCCAUUCACCCAAGUAGCCACACGAAAGUUGACAAUAUCCACCACAUCAUCCAAUUAUGGUGUAGAAUUCCUAAAAUGAUAUUUUUUUUGAUAAGAAGGCAUAAAGGGCAUGCCACCCGUAUAUACAAAAUAAUGCCACAGAACAAAAAGGCAUCAUACAUUGCCAAGAGAAUAGAAAAGCUCGAACCAAUCUAAAAAUUGGUCAAGGGAUGGGUAACACUCUCCCUUGUCCCAACUGUACAAGCUAUGCAGAAAAAAUGAUUUUAUCCUAGACACAGAUUUUUCCACCCAUUCAAAAACUCUCGAAUUUCUCUCACACCAUAAGACCCACAUCAAACAAAGUGGGAUCAUGGCCCACAAACUCUUCAUUCUCUUACCCAUUCUAACUCCCCUCCAAGCAAUUAGAAGUUCCAUGACAUUUUUAGACACAGUCCACACUGUAUCCCGAACCAAGAAAGCACCAAAGCCCAAAGUUCCCACGCCACCAAACAAUGGAUAAGCAGAUGGUCAACCGUCUCCGCAUCCCGUUUACACAUACAAUACCAAUUGACAAUGAUCUUCCCCCUUCUAAUCAAAUUAUCGAUCGUAAGAAUUUUGCCUUGUGCCGCACAUCACAAAAAAAAACUUACCUUCAAUGUAUAGGGCCUAAAAAUGAUAUCAUUCCUUGCUUUCCACAGAGACCACAAAACUGCAUAGAUGGUGGUUUCCCAGCAAAUCUUUUCACAAUUAGAAUGUGUUUGGGAGCUAGAGUUGCAUCAAACCAGUGAGUGAAGGAGGGUAUACCCAAUCCAAAUGCCACCAAUGAAAAAUCGCAGACCAAAUAUUCCAAGAAAAAGAGCAAUGCAAAAGGAGAUGAGUUGGAGUUUUUUUUGUAGCUGAGGAGCAAAAAGGACACAAGUCCUGACCUGGAGGGUAAUGUUGCGUCUAAGUAGGAUAGAUUUGGUUGCAAUUCUUUCUUGUAAGGCUUGCCAAACAAGAUUAAUAGUAUUCUUUUUUGCUGUUCGAAACAAAUCUACAUUAAGCACGAAUUCCAAUUGACGAUUUUUGAGACUCCGGAUUCGAGAUCAAUUUGUCUGUUACAGAACCCUAGUACAACAAGAAGAGGAUUCUUAUACAGCAACAAGAGAAUAAGCCGUAACAUUUCACCUAAGGAUGUGUAACAUUCACCAAACAUACGGGUAACAUUUCCCGAAAAUAGGGGACCGAUGUGUAUUGAAACAUUUCCCUUAUUUACUUGAAUGAGGUCAUUAGCUUCUAUAUAUCCAACUAUUCAAUUGAACAGAAUCAUCGUGAUUCAAGCCCUUUGUUAGUGUAUUUUAAGUUGAUCGGUCAACAAUAAUAAUUAAUACUCCCUCCGUCCCUAAAUAAGUGUCCGGCGCGUAAAACUAGGCCUUCAAAAAGAUGCACUUGUUUCGUUAAAAAAAUCAAUUUAUUUUCACAAAUCAAUAGAUAGCGAUGAGUUCUAUUAGAUUGUGAAUAAAAAUUAAUUUUUUUUAUAAUGCAUGUUUUGUAAGGCCUAGUUUUGCGUGCCAUACGCUUGUUUAGGGAUGGAGGGAGUAUAUAUUAUUGGAUCAUGUUAAAUGUGAGCAUAGUGGCAGAAUGUUAAAAUGGUAGGAGAUGGUGUGGGUAUCACUAGGUCAGGUAGGAGCAUUAUUAGAAUAUAUUCAACUUGAUGAUGUACACUACUACUCUUAAUCUUCUAUUCGAAUGUGUCAUUUUAGAUUGCAUUUAACUUGCUUCUCAAUUUUCAUCUUGUGUUUGAUUGUAACAGGACAACUCACUUAGUGGCUAAAAAUUUCCUGCUUGUUGUUAGGAAGGUUAGUUGGAGGAGGGAUUUUCCCAAAAAUGUGGCUGUCUGCCCUUGCACUUGAGGAUGUUCGGGUGGUUGGCCCUCAGUGAAUUAGUAAUAAACCUAUUUUGUGUCUUUGUUAAAAAAAAAACCUUCAAGCCAAACCCAAAAGAGCAAAUUCAAAAAUUCUUUUAUUCUAUUGACUUCGAACCAAAAGAAAAAGAAAAAGAAAGAUUAGGUAUAUAUGGAGACGCUAGCUCAAACAAAAUGCACACUGGAUAAUCAUGCCCCAACGUGUUUGAUGAUUGGCCUAAAAAAAGGCCAGAUCAAAACCGAAUUGGGCUUGAUAUUGGUCUCAACUUGGUUAGGCCAUUGGCUAUACUUGCAGUAAAUUAUAUAGGUUGAAGUAGCCAAGGCAAAAGUGUUAAAAUACAAAAUAAAAAUGCCAUUACCCUGACAUAGAAAGCAAGACAGUAGUAUUUUUUUCCCAUCAAAUCAAGUUUUGUGUAGUGUUCAUACUUUGAGGCAUCAUAACAGAGUGAGAGCAUAUCCACAAAAGAAGCUUGUUAAUGCCUCAGUCAUAUUAAGAUGAAUCCUGUAAUGCCUUCAGAAGAAAUGGGUAAUAUAUGCAGCAGCUGCAACAACAGGUUUGAACAUUGCACAUUUUUUUAUGCUUUCUUCCACCCUUCUUCUUGGAUGUAGGAAUGCCCACAUUUUUUCAAUCGACUUCUGCUUAGACGGGGGCGUUUGGGAGCCUAUUUUAUUUGUUUUUUGCAUUUUGGAUUGUGAAUUAUAGUUAGAAUAUAUUUUGAUUUUGAUGUAGUGUUUGGAAAAUAUUUGCAUAGUAGUGUUUGAGAGUAUAAUGUGGAAAAUAUAUUAUGGGUUGUUAUUUUUUGGCCAUGUUGUCCUAGAUAGUAUUCAUCAAUCAGAUAUUAGUAUAAGUGUUUACUUCUCGUAUGAAUUACCCUUUUUAGUGAAGAUAUUUUAUAUAGUUAUUACUUAUUAGUUUCAAUUACCUCACUGAUCCUUUGACCUUACUAAUACGUUGGCUUUUGUCCAAAGUGGUCAUAUAUAUGACAUGAGCAAGAUAAGAAAUGGAAUUGUAAAUGUUGAAAACAAAAUUAUUACGUAAUGAAAACAUAAAUUACUCCAAACCGAAAUGAAUUCCCCAUUCACAAUAAAGGUUGAGGACAAGGAUGAAAUUUGCUCAAAUGGUUGGGGGCAUUUUCAUCUUUACAAGUGCAGGAAAAACGAGAAUGCAAAAUAAAGCUCCUAAAAGGGUGAUUCUUAGAUUGUAACUCUAUUGUGUGCUUUGGAGAAUAAACUGUGGCAAAAUGCUUUGUGUAAUGCAACUCCCAAACAACCAUUAUAGAAAGCUGCAAAAUCCAGAAAAAGGAUAAGGGUUAUAAGUAUUAUACGGUUGGAGUUAAAUGAAAGUUACAUUUAGGGUUAAUAUAAUCUUGUUUUUGCUCUUCAAAAAGAAGAAGUUACAUUUAGGGUUUGGGGAAACUACAGUAAUGAUCAAAAGUCCAAGGUUACGUGGUACCUCUUCACAAAUCCGCUCGUGCAUGCCUGCAAUAUAUAGCUUUAUACUUGUAAUACUUGCUCAAGGUUGAAAUGAUUUCUCAGUUCUUAGAUUUAAAUAGCAAUGUCUCGGACCUUACAAUUUUCGCAAGUAAAAGGUGUCCGAUAGAUUUUCCCAAUAUAUUGAGGUCUAACUGGGUUCAGUAUAAUUAAGUAAGCUUAGGUAGAAGAUAACUCAUGUGGCGUAUAACCAUACAUAUAUGCAUAACAAACCAAAUGAAAAGGUAAACAAACCAAUCUGCAUGCACUUGAAUUAUGGACCAAAUAUACCCAUCCUGAGUAUUAUUUAAAGGGGAUCCGGAUGCAAGAUCUUUACUCAGAAAGAAUAGAAAAGUAACUGGUUGGGGAAUCAUGCAACUACGGUCUAACUGAUUCUGGAUUGUCAUGCAUUAUAUCGUUAAGAUGAAAUUGGCAUAUUCAAAAAACGCCGUAAUUGAUAGGCUCUUUAAAUUUCAAAACAUGAAGGCUGACAUACAUACGGAGUUACAAUCGGUCUACAACUGAUGCAGGCUUGUACGUACAUGGAUCAACAUGAGAGGUAAAGGAUUGUGUUGGGGGACAAAAGCGAGCAGAAGUCGUUCAAUUACACAGGAAUUACAUGCUUCAAUCCUGGUUCUUUCUCAAAUGACGACUCUUUGUAUUGCUUAUCAUCCUUGUACUCAUGAAGUUGAAUUAUGUGAAAUUGAGUUACUGGGAUUGUGAGUUUACCAUCUUUCUAAUUUAUUUGGACCGGCAACGCAGUCUGGUGCAGAGUGCAAUAUGUUACCAUUCAUUAUUGCUCUCUGGCCAAAUUAUCAGGAAAAGAAAUCUUCUAAUCUUUGCUAAAUUAUAAUGGAACUGCUUAUUGUAAGUAAGUUGAUUAACUGUUGCUCUUUGGCAAAACAAAGAAGAAGUUAUUUUACUAACGUACGUUGAUUGUAUACUAGUGUCAUCUCGAGGAUGGAGUGCUUAUCUGCUGAGCAGAAUCUAAUUCAAUUUGUGUUAUCAUUAGUAACCGAGAUUGGUGUUUGUAAAUAUGCCAAUUUUAGAUAAACUCUCUUGUUCUUUUUGGUCAAAGGCGGCGUUGUUUUAGAGUGUGAGAGAGAAUUGUUUGUGUGUUUGUUUGUGGUCCUAGAAGACUUGCUUUAAUGAAUGCAGCUAAGUGGUACAAACAUCUCAAGAACAUCCUUCAUCACCAUGGAUUAUUGCCACGAACAAGUGUGGUGCACCCACCACACUCGUGAGUGUGUUAUUUAAAGAAUUAUUCUGGAGGUGUUUUUUUUUUUUUUUUUUUUUUUUGUCCUGUCUUUUUUCGAUACGCUUUGAAGGGAAACAUAAAUACUAAUCCCACAACCGGUGCAAGGGAAAAUUCCAAAAUGAAUUACUCCAUAAAAUAGUAUGCAUCUGUUUUUCUUGUUUGAAUAUGGUUGUUACUUUUUAAGAGUUUAGGGCUUGUGUGAUGAAUAUGUUAAAAAUUGUUUCUGAACCGUGUUGAUUCGGAAUUACGUACACUAAGACAACAGGUUUCAAAUAUUUGUUUGAGAAAUGGUUUAUGUUAGGCUUCUAUUGGCUCUAUGUUUUUUCUCUUCUAAGAGUUGAACCUAAUUAGCUUGAAAUCCUGGGAAAAACUCAAAUUCCUGUGAUCUGUUUAUAUCUCGAAUUUCUGGAUGACGAGAAAGAAAAAGAUAAGGCAAACUACAGGGGUGUUUAUAUUUUGAAAUUUUGUUAAGAUGAAUGAAAAAUAUGACGGUAUGGAUUAUGUCUGUGUAUGUCUGUACAUUUCACAAACUACAGAGUGUUAUGUGUAUACUUUUGAACCAUAGAGAAUGUAUCCGCACAUGGCUCAAAUCACAUGGGGUCAAAGUAAACUUUGCCCGAAGAAACCUAUAUUAAUAACUCUCAUCUCCAUAAGAGCCUAGGAGGCUCUGACUCUGUGCAUACAAUUAGGUAACCUAACAAAAAACAAUAAAUUAUCUCUAUGGCUCCCCAUUUGUUCUACUCCAAAAGAAAUAUCCCAACUUUGUAAUCUGAACUGUGGCAUAGUGUAAAAGCAAUUAAAGCCCAUGAAUCCAAACAUACAAUCUUGGUAGAGAAAAAAGAGAAAUUUUUUUUCCCCUUCUCAUGAGUCGGAAUCAGUUUAUCUCAUUAAUUGUACAUGCAGUCGCGGAUAAAAAAAAAAAAAAAACUGUACAUGCAGUCCAAAAGAAAAUGUGUAUGAAAGAUUAAAUCUUUAAUUCUUUUAUGGAAUUAUUACAAACCUAUGGCCAUAAUAUAUAUAAAUAUCAUAUAUAAUACUCUCUUAGUCCCAAAAUAUUUGACCUUUUCAGGACUACGUGUCAUUUCAGAUUACUUACAUCUUUCGAUUUAUGAAGUUGUAUGUGAUUUUAAAAACUUUGUUUAAUAGAACUAAUUAAAUCUGUCAACAAGAUCUAUAUUGUAUAUUUUUUGACAUUCACAUUGAAAGAUAUAUGCAAUUGAAAAUGACAUUGUAUUCCAAAAAUGUCUUAACAUUUUGGGACGGAAGAAGUAUGAGAGAGAGAGAGAGGGAGAAACUCUCUGUUGAAUUGAGGAUCCUCAAAAGCACAU